AGAGCGAACGCUGGCGGCAGGCUUAACACAUGCAAGUCGAGCGGGCGUAGCAAUACGUCAGCGGCAGACGGGUGAGUAACGCGUGGGAACGUACCUUUUGGUUCGGAACAACACAGGGAAACUUGUGCUAAUACCGGAUAAGCCCUUACGGGGAAAGAUUUAUCGCCGAAAGAUCGGCCCGCGUCUGAUUAGCUAGUUGGUGAGGUAACGGCUCACCAAGGCGACGAUCAGUAGCUGGUCUGAGAGGAUGAUCAGCCACAUUGGGACUGAGACACGGCCCAAACUCCUACGGGAGGCAGCAGUGGGGAAUAUUGGACAAUGGGCGAAAGCCUGAUCCAGCCAUGCCGCGUGAGUGAUGAAGGCCCUAGGGUUGUAAAGCUCUUUUGUGCGGGAAGAUAAUGACGGUACCGCAAGAAUAAGCCCCGGCUAACCUUCGCGCCAGCAGCCGC
rnacentral:rRNA from 1 species